rnacentral:rRNA from 1 species
UACGGAGGGAGCUAGCGUUGUUCGGAAUUACUGGGCGUAAAGCGCACGUAGGCGGCUUUGCAAGUCAGAGGUGAAAGCCUGGAGCUCAACUCCAGAAUUGCCUUUGAGACUGCAUCGCUUGAACACGGGAGAGGUGAGUGGAAUUCCGAGUGUAGAGGUGAAAUACGUAGAUAUUCGGAAGAACACCAGUGGCGAAGGCGGCUCACUGGACCGUUGUUGACGCUGAGGUGCGAAAGCGUGGGGAGCGAACAGG